CAGUCGCCACGGUAAUACGAAGGGGGCUAGCGUUAAUCGGAAUUACUGGGCGUAAAGCGCACGCAGGCGGUUUGUUAAGUCAGAUGUGAAAUCCCCGAGCUUAACUUGGGAACUGCAUUUGAAACUGGCAAGCUAGAGUCUUGUAGAGGGGGGUAGAAUUCCAGGUGUAGCGGCGAAAUGCGUAGAGAUCUGGAGGAAUACCGGUGGCGAAGGCGGCCCCCUGGACAAAGACUGACGCUCAGGUGCGAAAGCGUGGGGAGCAUACAGGAUUAGAUACCCCUGUAGUCCCUGUCUCUUAUAC
rnacentral:rRNA from 1 species